UACGGAGGAUGCAAGCGUUAUCCGGAAUUAUUGGGCGUAAAGCGUCCGCAGGCGGCUAUGUAAGUCUGCUGUUAAAGAGUCUAGCUCAACUAGAUACAAGCAGUGGAAACUACAAGGCUAGAGUACGUUCGGGGCAGAGGGAAUUCCUGGUGUAGCGGUGAAAUGCGUAGAGAUCAGGAAGAACACCGGUGGCGAAGGCGCUCUGCUAGGCCGUAACUGACACUGAGGGACGAAAGCUAGGGGAGCGAAUGGG
rnacentral:rRNA from 1 species